rnacentral:rRNA from 1 species
GGCUCAGAUUGAACGCUGGCGGCAUGCCUUACACAUGCAAGUCGAACGGCAGCACGGGAGCUUGCUCCUGGUGGCGAGUGGCGAACGGGUGAGUAAUACAUCGGAACGUACCCUGAAGUGGGGGAUAACGUAGCGAAAGUUACGCUAAUACCGCAUAUUCUGUGAGCAGGAAAGAGGGGGAUCGCAAGACCUCUUGCUUUAGGAGCGGCCGAUGUCGGAUUAGCUAGUUGGUGAGGUAAAGGCUCACCAAGGCGACGAUCCGUAGCGGGUCUGAGAGGAUGAUCCGCCACACUGGGACUGAGACACGGCCCAGACUCCUACGGGAGGCAGCAGUGGGGAAUUUUGGACAAUGGGCGCAAGCCUGAUCCAGCCAUGCCGCGUGAGUGAAGAAGGCCUUCGGGUUGUAAAGCUCUUUCGGCGGGGAAGAAAUUGCACAGGAUAAUACCUUGUGUAGAUGACGGUACCCGCAUAAGAAGCACCGGCUAACUACGUG